GAAUUUCAAAUGAUGGUUGUGCUUUGGUUCUUGUGUUGUUUUAGAAAAUGCAAAUUAGGUAGGUUUGCCUUUAAUUGCAAACUGAACCACAUUUCUCUCCCAACCGUACCCACCUCCCAAUGAGCAGCAGAAAGUCAUCUGAACAUGGUCCUUGCACAGUUAAGAUGAAAAAGAAUUCUUUUUUUUUUUUUUUUGGUGCCUCAACAUCUAGUAGAAAGGAAAGAAGGAAUCAUGCAGUCCCAAGAUAGUUGAUCAUAGAUCUAGAUUUAGUGGCAUCUGCCUUCUGCUUGAGUCAAGCUGUUCUAGCAGUCUGAUACAAGACAUUUAUUGUGGAGGAAAUACUGAGAGGGCAAAGCGGCUUUGGAAGAAAUUAUUCAAGGCAAGAAAUGUUGAUGAAACUGCCGAUAAUGCUAAGGGACUAAAAGAAAAAAGGACUCUGAAUCAGCAGAACUUGAAUAAAAUUACCUCAGUGUUCUCUUUUCGUGCUUGCUUAGAAUAUUAUUGGAAGUGUUUUGUUUAUCUAUCAGCUUUUUGCUUCCAAAGCGUGUAAGGAGUCAAAGAGGAUGCCCAGGCUCUCUGGUUAUUAAGAAUUUACAGAUAGCCUAUGAUGCAGAGGAGAGUUUUGAUAACCAAACAAACCAUGACACACUUCCUUCUAUUGUUUCCACUCAGCUAUGCUCUCUUGCCACAGUUUAUUAACUGUUCUAUUUUUCUAGAAAAAGAGGUGCUGGAACUCUCCAGGGAUGCCUUCCUUGUUCCCUUUAUAAUGGCAAUGGCGCCCACCUGAGAGGUGCUGGAACUGAGUUCCGGGUGAAAAAAAAGCCCUGCUCUUAUUUGUCAUGAAAGCCUAGUUUGGCCAGAGACAGCUAUAAGGGGUGUGUGUGUCUGGCAGGUGAGGGACCCCAGAAAACUAAAAGGACCCUAAAAGGAAUGAGUUUCCCCAAGUUGACUAAGGGUGUGUGUACACAUUAGCUGCUUAAAACACAGCUAGGUUCCCCCUCCCCACUCAAUUCAGAUCGAAUCUGGGAUAAGGCAGCUCUGUAUGUCUCUCCCAACCCAUGUCCACAUAGCUCAUGGGAGAAGAACCCUAGGCCCAGGGCUAAAUGUGGUCCUCCAAACUUUUCUAUCUGCCCUCGGAAGUCCUUGUCCAUCAUUUUUGCUUCUGUGGCCCCUGGAAGUUUGCCAAAGACAAAAAGUACCACUCCUUGUAUAAUUAAACUCGCCCAAAUUGCUUUGGGGAUGGAAGAAAGGAAGGAGAGAAAACCUGCUCCAUUGUUUCCAGGAAAUUGUGCUUUAUUUGUUCAAUUUAUUAUUUAUUCAAUUUAUAUACCACCCUUUAUCUGAAUAAAUUACCAGAUGCCAUUCCUCUGUGAUGUGGCUUAUCUUCUUUUUGCAUGAAUUAAUUAUAUAAGAGGAGCAAUUGUUUAUUGUCAGUGUGAAACUUUGCCGUUCUCAGAGAAGUACAGUUAAAAGAGUAAGUGUUUGAGUAUUAUUACGGAUAAUCUCUGUGUAUCUGUGCAGUUUUGCCUAAGGGGCAGAGAUGAACGGGUAACAGUACACCAGUGGGAGAGGAUGACUUUGAAAAUCCACACUUCUCUCUUGAUAACUUAUGGUGUGGGUGGUGGCAAGAGGAUCACAGCUUGUAUCAGCAGGUUUUCAUAUGCUUAUCUUCAGGCAACGGAAAUUGCUGGUAGGAGCGAUGUUCCCCCCUCCCUCUUCCCAGGGAAGAAUCAAAAGUGUCAGGAUCAAAGACCACAUUGCUGACUCUGUGCUUGCUGAGCUGCAUUGAUAUAACAAUGGUUCUGGGCAUUAAUAGCACAAAAGGUCGCAGGACACAAAUGCUGGAGGAUGACAGUGAGCAGAAAGGAUCUUUCUUUCACACAUUUUUAAAAACCAAUAGGUAUAUAUUUCAGCUAAACAUAUGAUGGGAAGUAAGUCCAAUUCACUACCUGAGAAUUCAGCUUUCUUUUUCUUUUCUUUUUUAAAAAAUUGCAUCUGAUUUCUGUGCUAGCAAGGACAAUGUUGUAUGGCCCAGGGGUGGCUAAUUUAUGUGACCCUCCAAAUGUUGUGUAACUACAAUUGAGGCUGCUGGCUGAGGGUACCGGGCACUGGGAGUCCCAACAACUAGUGAAAGGUUACUGGUUAUCCACCCUGGCAUAGCAAGAGCAGGUCAUACCAAUUGAGGAAGCCCAACUUAUGAGUGACCUGCCCUGGCCUUUUGGCAAAAAGAAACUUCCUUGGUACUUAGGCUUGUUCCCUGCACUUCCCUAGGAAGGAUGUUAGCUUAGUGGUGGAGAGCAUGCUGUGCAUGCAGAAGCUCUCAGUUCAUUCCUCAGCAUCUCCAGGUGAGGCUGAGAAAGGCUCCUUCCCGAAACCCUGUAGGGUGAAUGCCGGGGUAGACUACACUAAGCUUCUGGCUUUGUAUAAGACAACUUCUGAUGCCCCUCUCCUUUUGCUAAACCUGUAGGCUAGCGCACAGGUUAAAUCCCAGUUUGUAUUGUACUGAUACUGUUUCCAACCUGACACAAACUCUGGUAACUACUAGACUAGACUGCUGCAAUGCACUGCAUGUGGGGCCGCCUUUGAAGGUGGUUCAAAAACUGACAUCAGUGUGGCAUAUGGCAGCCAGACCGCUGAUGGGGAACAGGUGGUCAGAACAUAUAUCUCUAGUUCUUGUGUGCUGCAUUGACUUCCAAUUUGUUUUCAAGCCCAGUUCAGAGUACUAGAAAACCUUGAUCUAGAACACCUUGCACAGGUCGGAACCUCAGUACCUCCCAGAUCACCUUUCCUCGUGAAUCUCCUCAGAACCUGAGAUCGACAUCUGAGGUGCUUCUCUUUGUAUCCUCUCCAAGACAUAUCCAGAGGGUAGCAACAAGAGAACAGGCCUUUUCUGUGGUAGCCCCCCAAGUAUGGAACGCUUUCCCCAGUGAAGCUUCCUAGCAACAACUUGUCAUUCUGCCAGUGCUAGGUGAAGAUGCUUUUAUUGUCUCAGACACUUUGGUCAGCACUAACAAUCUGGCAUUGGGUGGCUCUUUUUUGGUGCUCAUUCUUGUGUGGGUGUGGAUACUUUGUGUUGUGUGAUUUUUUUGUGGGUAAUCGCUUUUAGUGCAUUCACAUUGCUUUAAAGGAUAGUAUAUUAUAUUUUGUGUGUUAUUGCUUCUGUAAAUCAUUCUGAGACUUCUUUUGAUUGUGAAGCGAUCUAUAAAUUGAAUGAACCAACUAAAUUUGAGGCUUGACAGACUCUUCUGAAGCAGACUGAAUUACGAAGAAAUAAGAAAAUAUAUGUGGUCAAAUAACUAUUUUCUUUGUGCAGGUAUUUUUUUUUGUAAACAGUUUUUACUGUACUUUUAGUAAGUACAGAACAAGUACGAAAUUAUAGCAAAGAAGUGAAGGGCAACACAAAAAAGAUAAAAUACCAAGCAGUGUUUUAAGGCAUAUAUGGUACAGAAAAGUAGCAGUGGACAAAGAUGAAACUUUAGUUAUGUAAGAGGAACAGCAGCUUCAGAGCUAGCUUAGCACAGAAUGUUAAUUACUCACCACCACCCCUUAGCAGAGUGUAUACAUUGCUCUGAAAAAGAGUGUAUACAAAUUCAUGGAGACUAAGGCUAUCAGUGACUACUAGCUAUCAUUGCUCUAGACCAGGGGUUAGCAACCUUUUUCCGCUGUGGGCCGGUCCAUCGUCCCUCAGACCAUGUGGUGGGCCGGACUAUAUUUGGGGGAGGGGGAAUGAACGAAUUCCUAUGCCCCACAAAUAACCCAGAGAUGCAUUUUAAAUAAAAGGACGAUUCUACUCACAUAAAAACACGCUGAUUCCCGGACCGUCCGCAGGCUGGAUUUAGAAGGCAAUUGGCCCUCAUCCGGCCCCUGGGCCUUAGUUUGCCUACCCCUGCUCUAGACAGUCUGCUGUCGAAGGCAGUAUUCCUUUGAAUACCACCUCCUUGGAAUCACAAGUGAGGAAAGUGCUGUUGUUCUCAGGUCCUGCUAUCGGGCUUUCCAUUGGAAGCUGGUUGACCACUGUGAGAACAGGAUGCUGAAUUGCAUGUGUUGGUUUUUGGAUUUGGUUCAAGAUAAAAGAAUAUUGGUAAAAUAAAAAGGAGAAUUCCCUGGAUUCCUAGAUCCAGGUUUGGGGCAAGUACUCUUUGGUAAGAGAGUCCAAGCAGAGAUUUAAAAUCACAAACCAUGCAACUAAAUAAAGUUGGAAACCUUUAAAAUAUCCCCCCCCCGAGUUGCUUCUAGAGUUCCCCACUUUUUUUAACAUAGAAAGCUCCCACAUGUUUGGUAAGUUAAAAAUGCUUUACUUACAAAUGCUUUCCCAUACAGCCAC
rnacentral:lncRNA from 1 species